rnacentral:rRNA from 1 species
CAAUAGCGUAUAUUAAAGUUGUUGCAGUUAAAAAGCUCGUAGUUGGAUUUCUGAUCGAUACAUCAGGUCGGGUCCGAGAGGAUCAUGUACUUUGAUUUUGUUUUGAUCAUCCUUGGGGAGAGCAUUUCUGGCAUUCAGUUGUCGGGAUUGGGAUCCUCAUCGUUUACUGUGAAAAAAUUAGAGUGUUCAAAGCAGGCCUCGGCCUCUGAAUACAUUAGCAUGGAAUAAUAAGAUAGGACUUUGGUGGUCUAUUUUGUUGGUUUGCACGCCAAAGUAAUGAUUAAUAGGGAUAGUUGGGGGUAUUCGUAUUCAAUUGUCAGAGGUGAAAUUCUUGGAUUUAUGGAAGACGAACUACUGCGAAAGCAUUUACCAAGGAUGUUUUCAUUAA